GGGGGUGCCACGGUUUCGACAGGGGUAAGUGAGCUUGGUGAUGCAUGUCGAGAAUCUUAUCUGACUCGUUAAACAUGAUGGAACUAAAUUUAAAUGCAAACGAAAAUUACGCACUAGCCGCGUAAGACCGGCUACACCCUCCUGAACCUGGUCGUUCGGUGAUGGAUAGGGUGUCAUACUGAAUGACUAGAUUGAGGCCAUGCAGAUAACCUCUUUCGAAACUCUUCUGCUGGCAUCGAAUGAUUUCUGAUUGCCUUGUAAUUCGAUGUAAGAACAUAAGACAACUAAACAUGUAGAUUUGCUUUGUAAGCUAUCUUUGGACGCGGGUUCGACUCCCGCCACCUCCACCA
rnacentral:tmRNA from 1 species